rnacentral:rRNA from 1 species
UACGUAGGCAGCAAGCGUUGUUCGGAAUUACUGGGCGUAAGAGUGUGUAGGCGGUGCUCUAAGUUCGGUGUGAAAUCUCCCGGCUCAACUGGGGAGGAUGUCGCGUGAAAACUGGGGGUGCUCGAGGGUCGGGAGAGGUAAGCGGAAUCCUGGUGUAGCGGUGAAAUGCGUAGAUAUCAGGAGGAAUGCCUGUGGUGUAGACAGCUUACUGGACCACUUCUGACGCUGAGACACGAAAGCCAGGGGAGCAAACAGG